UACAACCACCUGAAAUGUGGUUCCAGAGCACUUUUUGGGGUACAACCGAAGGAAAUGGGGUCCCCAGACCACUUUUUGGGUACAGCUGAAGAAAAUGGGGUCUCCAGACGCCUUUUUGGGGUAUAAUUGAAGGAAAUGGGGUUCCCAGACCCCUUUUUGGGUACAACCACGUGAAAUGUGGUCCCCAGACCCCUUUUUGGGGUAUAACUGAAGGAAAUGGGGUCCCCAGACCCCUUUUCGGGGUAUAACUGAAGGAAAUGGGGUUCCCAGACCCCUUUUUGGGUACAACCACAUGAAAUGUGAUUCCCAGAGCACUUUUUGGGGUACAACCGAAGGAAAUGGGGUUCCCAGACCCCUUUUUGGGUACAACCACGUGAAAUGUGGUCCCCAGACCCCUUUUUGGGGUAUAACUGAAGGAAAUGUGGUUCCCAGACCCCUUUUUGGGGUAUAAUUGAAGGAAAUGUGGUCCCCAGACCCCUUUUUGGGUACAACCACGUGAAAUGUUGUUCCCAGAGCACUUUUUUGGGGUACAACCGAAGGAAAUGUGGUUCUCAGAGCACUUUUUGGGGGUACAACCAACAUGGAAGCGUUGUUUCCCUCCCAAUUCGGGGUACAACAAGGCGAAAACUUCGUCCCCUCCCACCGCAACCCCAAAAAGACACCGCAAUCCUUCAGCCCUCAGCCACCAGCGCCGCCAUGUUGUCACCGUCACGACAUCACCGCCACGUUGUCACCACCCAGGUGUCACUGCCACACCGUCACCGCCAUGUUGUCACCGUCACGCUGUCACCGUCACACCGUCAACGCCAUGUUGUCACCAUCACGUUGUCACCAUCACGUUGUCACAGUCAUGCUGUCACCGUCAGUCACACCGUCACCACCAUGUCACUGUCACGCUGUCAUCGUCACAUUGUCACUGUCACAGUGUCAGUCACAUAACUGUCACGUUGUCACCACCAUCGUGUCACCGUUGUCACCAUCACCACGUCAUCACUGUCGCACUGUCACGUUGUCACCGCCAUGUUGUCACCAUCGUGUCAUCACUGUCAUGUUGUCACUGUCACCACCAUGUUGUCGCUGUCACGUUGUCACUGUCACAACCAUGUCGUCCCUGCCACGUUGCCACCAUCACGCUGUCGCCGCCAUGUUGUCGCCGCCGCCAUGUCGUCGCCGUCGCCGCGUCGCCGCCGUCAGUCACGUUUCUGGCCGGCCGUUCGGCCGCAGCGCCGCCAGCGCCUCCAGUUGAGGAAGAGGAGGGCGGCGUUGACGGCGUAGGUGCUGAGGCAGACGAGGCAGAGGUCGCGGAGGCCGAAGGCCAAAACCAGCGCCAGGUACAGCGACGCCACCACCGACGUCACCGACGUCACCAGCAGCGCCGCGGAGGAGGCUCUGCCCGGCACCGCGCCUGGAGGGGGGCAACGGGAAUGAUGGACGGCUGUGGGGACACACGGACAUGGGGCGGGGGGGGACGUACGGACAGACGGACGGAGAUGGGGACACGCUGGGGAUAAAUGGAUGGAGAUGGGACACACGGACAGAUGGAGAUGGAGGCACUUCAGGGACACACGGACAUGGACAGAAAGAGAGAUGGAGAUGAGGACACUUCAGGGACACACGGACAGAUGGGGACACUUCAGGGACACACGGACAUGGAAGUGUCAGGGACACACGGACGGAGAUAGGGAUGUGUUGGGGACAGACGGACACGAGGGGGGGACACACGGGAUGAAUGGAUGGAGAUGGGAACACAUGGACUGGGGGGACAUACGGACAUGGGGGGGGACACAGACAGAUGGACAGAGAUGGGGACACACUGGGAUGGAGAUGGGGACACAUGGACAGAUGGACAGAUGGACAGAUGGAGAUGGGGACACUUCAGGGACACACGGAUAUGGAGGGAGGACACACGGACAUGGAGGUGUCAGGGACACACAGACAGAGAUGGGGACAGACGGACAUGGGGGGGACACACAGACAGAGAGACAGAGGUGGGGACACGCUGGGGACAAAUGGAUGGAGAUGGGGACACACAGACAGAUGAGAUGGGGGCACUUCAGGGACACACGGACAUGGAGGUGUCAGGGACACACAGACAGAGAUGGGGACAGACGGACAUGGGGGGGACACACGGACAGAGAGACAGAGGUGGGGACACGCUGGGGACAAAUGGAUGGAGAUGGGGACACACAGACAGAUGAGAUGGGGGCACUUCAGGGACACACGGACAUGGAGGUGUCAGGGACACACAGACAGAGAUGGGGACAGACGGACAUGGGGGGGACACACGGACAGAGAGACAGAGGUGGGGACACGCUGGGGACAAAUGGAUGGAGAUGGGGACACACAGACAGAUGAGAUGGGGGCACUUCAGGGACACACGGACAUGGAGGUGUCAGGGACACACAGACAGAGAUGGGGACAGACGGACAUGGGGGGGACACACGGACAGAGAGACAGAGGUGGGGACACGCUGGGGACAAAUGGAUGGAGAUGGGGACACACAGACAGAUG
rnacentral:lncRNA from 1 species